CCCUUAGAUGUCCUGGGCCGCACGCGCGUUACACUGAUGCAUUCAACGAGCUUAUAACCUUGGCCGAGAGGCCUGGGCAAUCUUGUUAACGUGCAUCGUGAUAGGGAUAGAUUAUUGAAAUUAUUAAUCUUGAACGAGGAAUUCCUAGUAAACGCAGAUCAUCAAUCUGCAUUGAUUACGUCCCUGCCCUUUGUACACACCGCCCGUCGCACCUACCGAUUGGAUGGUCCGGUGAAGCCUCGGGAUUGUGGUUCUUGCCGCUUUAUUGUAGCGUGACCGCGAGAACUUGUCUAAACCUUAUCAUCUAGAGGAAGGUGGAGUCGUAACA
rnacentral:rRNA from 1 species